CCCCCUUGGCCGGCCACCACCUCCCCCUUUGCUCAUUUUCUUCACUCUCCACUCCCUCACACUCUCCUCCUCUCCUCCACCACGAAAUGCUGCUCCUCCUAGCAACCAUGGCCGGCCAUGGCCAUGGAAACCUCUCCAAGAUGCAACUCCCUCCUUCCUCAAGCUUCCCCUCACCAUGAGAGCUUCCCUCUCCCUCUCUUCUCCCCUAACCCUAGAUGAAUCUAGCUCUAUUUCUCCUUUCUCCUCUCACUAGAUUGGAUCUUGAUGCAGGUGCAUGUUGGUCCAAGCAUGGAGAAGGUUGAGCUAUCCUCAGAUCUGAAGUUCUUGAGCAAAAUCCAAAUCGAGUGAUUCAAAGUUCCGCAGAUAGGUAUUGAAAAGAUCUACAACUUGGCGUUGGUCUCAUCCUCAAAUUCGUUACGGAUUUUGCAUGAUCAAGAUCUGGUCAGAUCUGACUUUGUCGAAUUAAACCUGGAGUUUGGAAACGAAUUUUUGAAUGAAACCAACUGGGGGAUAUUUGGUUGAUACCCUGGUGAUAAACGAGAGAGGCAAUUGCUAAGUUGUGAUACUCUCAUACCUUUACUAGAUGCGAACGAUUCCGGAGAAGAAGAAGUGGUUCGGACAAGGAUUUUAUUUAUAUUGACGGGAUUCUUAUAUUGAUGAAGUUGAAGAAGUCCAGGGACAAAUAAGCCAAGGCAAGCCAUCUUUUGAUCUCUGAUAUGAUGUCUCUUUGGAUGUCAUCUUGUGCUAUCAAUAGCAUCUUGGUUCUAUGUGUGAUGAUCUCCAUAUUGUUGUCAUCUAUGCUUGGAUGCAAGCAUGGUACCUCUAGUAGUUUUAUCUUGUCAAGGUCUUGGUAAUUGGUUGGGUGUAUGGUAUCAUGGCCAUUGCUAUCCAACUUGCUUUCUAUAUUUAGCUUGAAUAUGUUCCACCUCGGGACAAGAUUCAUACUACACCCCCUUCUAGUGUAGAUGUAUCAAUACCAUGUUUUUGGUGUAUUCUCAAAUUGUGAUGAGUAUGCCUGAUUCCCUUAAUGGUGUUGGUGUUGGUCAAUUCUCAUCCCUAUCUAUUGAUUGGGUUAGAUAGCACCACAAAUCUGAAAGUAUAUUUCCUCUUGUGUUGUCAUAAUACAUGCUUAGCUCAAGCAAGUAUGAUCCACUCCAAUACCUCUUUUUCAUACCCUCAAUGGCGUGAUGACCCUCAUCUCGGCCAUAGUGUUGUAUUAG